GCACGGCCACCGCCGAACCGCCGAGGCCCCCCGGGGCCGACGCGGACCGGGGACCCACCGAACCUCUGGGGUGAGUCCUGCCUGCGCUGGGGGAGUGCAGGGAGGUAGGGCGCCGUCCGGCCCGAACCCGUCAGCUAACUCGGUAGGCGGUCACGAGGAUGGGA
rnacentral:sRNA from 1 species